UCUUUCAUGUCGUUAAAAUAAUAAAAUGUUUGCUUCCAGUUUGCUUCUUCAGUAAAUAUAUUCUUGGCUUCUUCUUACACAGUUUUAAACUUUAAACUUGUCCUUUUUAUAAAUGUCCAACUGUAGUGAUUACAUAUUUGUAUAAAUAUUCAUAAGUAAUAGGUUUUGAUAAUAUUUCCUGGAUGUGGCGGGGUAUUACAUUAACUUCUGUAUCUGCUUCUGAUAAGUGAUUCAAAUCGGCUACUAGUUUUUCUUUCAUAAUGGUGUGAAAGUCCGUGAAGGGGACCUUAAAAUGCUCCGAGUGGUCUUCAUGAGGUUCAGAGUUGGCAACUUGAUCCACAAUUUCGUUCCCUGGUAUGCCUCGAUGAGACGGAAUCCACUUGAGUGAAAUUGGUUUUUUAAUUUCAUUAAUAAUGUUUCUUAUAUUAUAAAUUAAAUAAUUUGUUUUAAA